rnacentral:rRNA from 1 species
CCUACGGGAGGCAGCAGUGGGGAAUAUUGCACAAUGGGGGAAACCCUGAUGCAGCGACGCCGCGUGAGUGAAGAAGUAUUUCGGUAUGUAAAGCUCUAUCAGCAGGGAAGAAAACGAUGGUACCUGAUUAAGAAGCCACGGCUAACUACGUGCCAGCAGCCGCGGUAAUACGUAGGGAGCAAGCGUUAUCCGGAUUUACUGGGUGUAAAGGGGGCGUAGACGGCAGCACAAGUCUGGAGUGAAAUGCCGGGGCUUAACCUCGGAAUUGCUUUGGAAACUGUGCGGCUAGAGAGCAGGAGAGGUAAGUGGAAUUCCUGGUGUAGCGGUGAAAUGCGUAGAGAUUAGGAGGAACACCAGUGGCGAAGGCGGCUUACUGGGCUGUAACUGACGUUGAGGCUCGAAAGCGUGGGGAGCAAACAGGAUUAGAUACCCCAGUAGUC